rnacentral:lncRNA from 1 species
AAAUUGAUGUCAGGGACCCAUGACUAAGAGAUAAUACUCAGAAAAUGAGCAAAAAUGUUAUAAGUAUCCAAAAAGAUGAGAUAAGUACAUGUUAAUACAUGAAUACUGGUGUGAAUAUUGCAUUCAGUAUUAAAUAUAGUUCUAUAUCUAGUAAAAUAAUAUGGUUAUGAGCCUUUUUCUAGUUUUCAGCAAAGUAAAUAAGAAUUAUAAGUUUACAUUCUGUCAUUCCCUACAUAAAUGGAUAAUGAUAAUAAAUAUUUUCAAUUAAAAGAGAAAAAAACACAACUAGGCUUCAAAUUAAGGUAAAUACACCUGAGAUCCCAAAAUGGACUAGAGGAGUGAGCAGAGCUGAAGCUGCAAACCAGAUGAGCUUCUGAUUCAGAAAUAGACUUGGGGCUGGAAGAGUCUGAGGAACAACAAAUAGCAAAGUGUCUUAUGUUACCAGGGAGACCAGGCUAACUGAUUGAAACCAGUGGCUGGUAUGAUGAAGCUCCCUAUUUUAAAAGAAAUCUGAAAAAAUGUCUGCUUCCUGGGUUAGUUAUUCUAUGAAUGUUACCUAAGGAGGUGGGAGGACAAGACAGAAAUAUCUCCAUGACAGGACCUAAAGAAAUAUACCAGCUGGCUUCAGGACUAAUCACCAUGGUGCAGCUGAUACAAAGUCUCUUUCUGAAACAGCAGUCCUCUGGGAGGCAGUUCAAAGCAACAGAAACCAACAACUGAAAAGAAUAUCCAAAAGAAGAAGAAAUAAAGGAGGCAUUAGUGUCUACAGUUUCCUGUGUUUUUAAACUUUAAUGAAUGUACGCCCUGUUGUUGUAAUGUUUUCUAUCAUUUAAAAGAAAAAUAAAAUAAAAAGCACUUUUUUGUGACAACGGUUACAAUGCAAGCAGUGUAAAACUUACAGAAGUUCUCAUAGUAUUUCUGAUCACUCAAAGGUGAUAAAAAAGAUUUUUUAAAAUUAAGUGUUAGUGGCCGGGCGCGGUGGCUCAAGCCUGUAAUCCCAGCACUUUGGGAGGCCGAGACGGGCGGAUCACGAGGUCAGGAGAUCGAGACCAUCCUUGCUAACACCGUGAAACUCCGUCUCUACUAAAAAUACAAAAAACUAGCCCCGGGCGAGGUGGCGGGCGCCUGUAGUCCCAGCUACUCAGGAGGCUGAGGCAGGAGAAUGGCGUGAACGCGGGAGGCGGAGCUUGCAGUGAGCUGAGAUCCGGCCACUGCACUCCAGCCCGGGCUACAGAGCAAGACUCCGUCUCAAAAAAAAAAAAAAAUUAAGUGUUAGUAUAUUCUAGUUUUCAAUUAACUUUUCACUGAGGUACUAGGGAGACAGCUAAUCAGAAGCUGAGUUGGGUAAUUUGACAGAAAACUAUGCACAAAGAUUAUUCACCUUCUAAUAUCACUAAUAUUUUUUCUUAUAUUUCCUUGGGUUUCUGUUUUCUGUUUCCAGUCUAACAUUCUUUUUACAAAAAAUCUGUAUUAAGUUAUUUUCUCGUUGUUAUAGUACCUGCAUUACAUUUCCUCUAUCUGUGACUUAUGAUGCUAUGACAACACUAAGAGAGCGAAAGUAGUUUAUCAAACCUAAAAGUUAGCCUGUUUCACAAUGGUGAGACCAUUAUAUAUUUUAUUGGAGGUCUGCAUUUUAUUAGCCUUUAGCCAUUAAAGUAUACACAUUUAAAAUGCACUUUUGAUAUUUUCCCACCCAUGUGAGUGGUCAGGCUUUCCACCUGAGAUCACUUUUCAAACCACACAGGUGGAACCCCUGUGUAGAAAAUGGGCUUGCUGAGAUGAACAGGCAGAAUAUACUACAGAACUACUGAAGUGACUGGAAUUUUCAGGAUGGGGGCUAUUAGAGAGGCAAGAAGCUGUGUAAAAGGAGAGGUUGACAAGUCUCACUGAAGGUUUUCCAUGAGACACUAAUUUAGGACUGAGUGGGUCCUUUACCUGAGAACUAAGACAAGAAAAUAUAAGAACUUCCAGGGUUUCUAUCACUUUGGGUUUUACAUUAAAGUCUUUAAUCCAUCCUGAAUUAAUUUUUGUAUAUGGUGUAAGGAAGAGGGUCUAGUUUCAAUCGUCUGUAUAAGGUUAGCAAGUUAUCCCAGCACCAUUUAUUGAAUAGGGAGUCCUUUCCUUAUUGCUUGUUUUUGUCAGCUUUGUCAAAGUUCAGAGAGUUGUAGGUGGCAGCCUCAUUUCUAGCUUCUCUAUUCUGUUCCAUCAGUCUAUGUGUCUGUUUCUGUACCAGUGUCAUGCUGUUUUGGUUACUGUAGCCCUGUAGUAUAGUUCAAAGUUGGGUAAUGCCUAUAGCUUUGUUCUUUUUGCUUAGGAUUGCCUUGCCAUUCAGGCUCUUUCUUGCUUCCAUAAGAAUUUUAAAAUAGUUUUUUUUCUAGUUUUAUGAAAAAUGUCAUUGUCAUUGGUAAUUUCAUAGUAAUAGCUUUGAAUCUAUAAAUUGCUUUAGGCACUAUGGCCAUAUUAAUUCAUUCUUUCUAUCCAGGACCAUGGAAUGUUUUUCCAUUUGUGUCAUCUCUGAUUUCUUUGAGCAGUGUUUUGUAGUUUUCCUUGUAGAGACCUUUUACCUCCCUGGUUAGCUGUAUUCCUAUGUUUGUGUGUGUGUGUGUGUGUGUGUGCGCGCGCACGUGUGUGUGCAUUGUGAAUAGGACUGCAUUCCUUAUUUGGCUCUAGGCUUGACUGUUGUUGGUGUAUAGGAAUGCUAGCGAUUUUUGCAAAUUGAUUUUGUAUUCUAAGACUUUGCUAAAGUUGUUUGUCAGCCUAAGGAGCUUCUGGGACAAAACUAUGGGGUUUUCUAGACAUAGGAUCAUGUCACCUACUAACGGGUAUAAUUUGACUUCCUUGCUUCAUAUUUGGAUGCCAUUUAUUUCUUUCUCUUGACUGAUUGCUCUGGCCAGAACUUCCAAUGCUAUGUUGAAUGCGAAUGGUGAGAAAGGGUAUCUUCGUCUUGUGCCGGUUUUCAAAGGGAAUGCUUCCAGCUUUUGCCCAUUCAGUAUGAUGUUGGCUGUGGGUUUGUUAUAGAUGACUCUUAUUAUUUCGAGGUAUGUUCCUUCAUUACCUAGUUUAUUGACAGUUCUUAAAAUGAAGUGAUGUUGAAUUUUAUAGAAAGUAUUUUCUGCAUCUAUUGAGAUAAUCAUGUGGUUUUUGUCUUUAGUUCUAUUUAUGUGAUAAAUCACAUCUAUUGAUUUCUGUAUGUUGAAGCAACCUUGCAUCCCAGGGAUAAAGCCUACUUGAUCAUGAUGGAUAAGCUUUCUAAUGUGCUUCUGGGUUUGGUUUGCUAGUAUUUUGUUGAAGAUUUCUGCAUUGAUGUUCAUCAAGGAUACUGGCCUGAAGUUUUCUUUUUUUGUUGUGUCUCUGUCAGGUUUUGGUAUCAGGAGGAUGCUGGCCUCAUAGAAUGAGUCAGAGAGGAGUCCCUCCUCCUCAAUUUUUUGAAAUAGUUUCAGCAGGAAUGGUACCAGUUCUUCUUUGUACAUCUAGUGGAAUUCAGCUGUGAAUCCGUCUGGUCCUGGGAUUUUUUUUUUUUUUUUUUUUUUUUUUUUUGGUUGGUAGGCUAUUUAUUACUCACUCAAUUUCAGAGCUCAUUAUUGGUCUGCUAAGGGAUUCAGUUUCUUCCUUCAGUCUUGGGAGGGUGUAUGUAUGCAAGAAUUUAUCCAUUUCUUCUAAAUUUUCUAGUUUAUGUGCAUACAGGUGUUCAUAACAUUCUCUGAUGGUUAUUUGCAUUUCUGUGGUGUUAGUGGUAAUAUCCCCCUUGUCAUUUCUAAUUGCAUUUAUUUGGAUUAUCUCUCUUUUAUUUUUUAUUCGUAAAAUCCAAAACUAUAAAAACCCUGGAAGACAACUUAGGCAAUACCAUUCUGGACA